rnacentral:tRNA from 3 species
CGGGGAGUAGCUCAGUUGGCUAGAGCGACUGGUUUGGGACCAGUAGGUCGCAGGUUCAAGUCCUGUUUCCCCGACAA